ensembl:snoRNA SNORD115 Small nucleolar RNA SNORD115
AGGUCGAUGAUGAGAACCUCAUAUGGUCUGAAGAGAGGUGAUGACUUAAAAAUCAUGCUCAAUAGGAUUACGCUGAGGCCC